rnacentral:rRNA from 1 species
AUUGAACGCUGGCGGCAUGCUUUACACAUGCAAGUCGAACGGUAACAGGUUAAGCUGACGAGUGGCGAACGGGUGAGUAAUGCAUCGGAACGUGCCCGGUCGUGGGGGAUAACGCAGCGAAAGCUGCGCUAAUACCGCAUACGAUCUGAGGAUGAAAGCGGGGGACCGUAAGGCCUCGCGCGAUCGGAGCGGCCGAUGUCAGAUUAGGUAGUUGGUGGGGUAAAGGCACACCAAGCCGACGAUCUGUAGCUGGUCUGAGAGGACGACCAGCCACACUGGGACUGAGACACGGCCCAGACUCCUACGGGAGGCAGCAGUGGGGAAUUUUGGACAAUGGGCGAAAGCCUGAUCCAGCAAUGCCGCGUGCAGGAAGAAGGCCUUCGGGUUGUAAACUGCUUUUGUACGGAGCGAAAAGGUCCUUUCUAAUACAAGGGGCUCAUGACGGUACCGUAAGAAUAAGCACCGGCUAACUACGUGCCAGCCGCCGCCGUAAAAC